rnacentral:rRNA from 1 species
GGGGGAUAUUGCACAAUGGAGGAAACUCUGAUGCAGCAAUGCCGCGAGAGGGAAGACGGUUUUCGGAUUGUAAACCUCUCUCCUUGGUGACGAAACAAAUGACGGUAGCCAAGGAGGAAGCUCCGGCUAACUACGUGCCAGCAGCCGCGGUAAUACGUAGGGAGCAAGCGUUGUCCGGAUUUACUGGGUGUAAAGGGUGCGUAGGCGGCUCUGCAAGUCAGGCGUGAAAUAUAUGGGCUUAACCCAUAGACUGCGUUUGAAACUGUGGAGCUUGAGUAUGGAUGAAGUAGGCGGAAUUCGUUGUGUAGCGGUGACAUGCAUAGAUAUAACUAGGAACUCCGAUUGCGUAGGCAGCUUACUAAGCCAUAACUGACGCUCAUGCACGAAAGCGUGGGGAUCAAACA